UACAGAGGUCUCAAGCGUUGUUCGGAUUCAUUGGGCGUAAAGGGCGCGUAGGCUGCGGGGCAAGUCGGGUGUGAAAUCUCAGAGCUCAACUCUGAAACUGCACUCGAUACUGCUUUGCUCGAGGACUGGAGAGGAGAUUGGAAUUCACGGUGUAGCAGUGAAAUACGUAGAUAUCGUGAGGAAGACCAGUGGCGAAGGCGGAUCUCUGGACAGUUCCUGACGCUGAGGCGCGAAGGCCAGGGGAGCAAACGGG
rnacentral:rRNA from 1 species